rnacentral:RNase_P_RNA from 1 species
AGAGUGGGCCGGGCGGUCGCAUGUCGGGCACAGGCCCGGCAUGAGGAAAGUCCGAACUCCAUAGAGCACGAUGCUGGGUAACUCCCAGGCGAGGCGACUCGACGGCAUAGUGCAACAGAGAGCAGGUCGCCCCGGCGGUCUCGUACCGUCGGGGUAAGAGUGAAAGGGUAGUGUAAGAGACUACCAGCGGCCCAGGUGACUGGGUCGGCUAGGCAAACCCCAUCGGGAGCAAGACCAAGCAGAGGCUGUCUACAGGGGCAACCCUGUGGGCAUGGGCUGCUCGCUCAUUGCCUCAGGUAGGUCGCAAGAGGCGUCGGGUAACCGGCGUCGUAGAUAGAUGAUCGCCACCCCGCCGAAAGGUGGGGGACAGAAUUCGGCUUAUAGGCCCACUCAACCA